rnacentral:rRNA from 1 species
AUGGCGUCGAGCCCCAGCUCCAGCUCCAGCCUGAGGAGCUCCUGCUCCUUCCCCAACCUGCUGCUGUGGCUCCUCAACCUCUCCCUGCUCGCCCUCGCGGCGUCCGCGCUCGGCCCGGCGCUGCUGCUCCGGCCCCGCCCGACGCCCUUCGGCUGGGCGCUCGUCUCCGUGCACGCCGCCACUCUACUCUCCGCCCUCGCGUCCAUGUACACGCACCUCGCCCGCCGCCGCCUCUGCUGCCACGCUCACGCGGCCCUCGCGGUCACCGCGCUCUGCAGCCACGCGCUCGCCUCCUACGCCCUGCUCCUCCGCCGCGACCGCAGCCUCGCUCUGCUCGCGUCGGCCAGGGACCGGAGGGAGCAGGUCGCGCUGGUGCUCCUGGAGGCGGCGCUGCUGCUGGCCAUGUUCCUCGUGCAGGCCGUGGCGCUGGCGGCGGCCUGCGCCGUGGGCCGGCGGUGGGCGAGGGAGCACGAGGCGGCCGAGGCCGAGAAGGCCGCCGCGGCGAGGAAGAUGGCGCGCGUGCGGGCCGGCGUGACGCCCGUGGACGAGAAGGGGGCGAGCGGCAAGGUGGUGCUCACGGGAAACGCCGACGAGUGCUGA